rnacentral:lncRNA from 1 species
ACCUUUAGUUUUGCAUUCUUUGAGUCUAGUUUAGUGGUUUAAACUUUGUUUUUGAGUUUUUAAGUUAGUUUCCAAGUGUUUAGCAAUCCCUCCUAAUCCCCGGUCUAGAACGAUCCCUACUUACAUCUCUACUACAAUUUGACAAAAGAGGGUUUAAUUUGUGUGCUUAUAUAUUUCGCAUCAUCAAUGCUUAUGAUUUUCAUAAAACUUAAUGAUUCUUGCUUGUAUCUCUAUUAUGCAAUUCAUGUAGGGAACUUGUGGGGAAUACUUUGGGUUGUUGUAUGCAAUCAUCCAAUUCAAUAACUUUAGGAAAAUCUGAGGGUUAAUUAGUGCAAUUCACGGUUAAUCUGGGGCGUUGAGGAUUCAUAGUUUAUUGAAAAGCAAUUGGAAAUUGUUUUGUAUGCAAGUGUGACAUGUGUGGAGAAGAACCUCCUAGCUAGCCAAUCAUUCAUCUAAUUCACCCAAUUUCGUCUACAAUCUGUUUAAAUCGUAUUUGUUUUAUUUCACUUAAUUUUCGUCCAAAACCUAACCCCCUUUUACUUUAGAGUGUCUAACUAGUUAGAAUAUGUUUUAGAUUGUGUUUUUAAGUGUUUUGAGUCAAGAAAACCCAAAAAUUCGUCCAAAGGAGUGUUAGAGUUCAAAUCUGCCCAGUUUGUGUUUUUAGGCAGAUUUGAGUGUUUUUGUGCUGUUUUGAGUCUUUUGAGUUGUUUUAGUGUUUUAUGAUGUGUAAAUUAACUUGACACACAAAUUAAACCCUAUGGAUAACAAUUGUAGUAUAUGAGCAAAUAGGGAUCGUUCUAAACCGGGGAUUAACUAGGGAUGCUAAUCAAUGUGAAACUGACUCAAGAACAUAAAAACAUAAUGUAGAACACUAAACUAGACUCAAUUAAUGCAAAACUAGAGUUUAAAACACUUAAAUCAACCAAAAACUCAAAACAGCAACUAAAAGACUCAAAACUGCCUUAAAACCACUUUCUUUCUGGGCAGUUUUGAGUACCUAACACUAAUUUGGACGAAAUUGGACUAUAACUUGACUCAAAGCACUUAAAAACACAAACUAAAUUGAUUUCUAACUAAUCUAACACUUUCAAAUCAAUGGGGGAAUGAUUUUGACGAAAAUUGAAACUUUAAAACUUAAACUUUGAAAACAAACUUAAAGCAAAACAGAUUGUGAUGAAAUAGAAUGGUGAGAAACUAGUUAGAGGGUUCCUUAUCCACACAUGAACAUAUGCAUACAACUCGAUCUCCAAUUACUCUUUCAACAAAC